UUCCGGUUGAUCCCGCCGGAGGUUACUGCUAUCGAGGUUCGACUAAGCCAUGCGAGUCGAAUGUAGCAAUACAUGGCGUACUGCUCAGUAACACGUGGAUAACCUACCCUUGAGAUGGGAAUAAACCCGGGAAACUGGGUAUAAUACCCAAUAGAUCUCGACUGCUGGAAUGCAUCGAGCUCCAAAGCUCCGGCGCUCAAGGAUGGAUCUGCGGCCUAUCAGGUAGUAGUGGGUGUAGUGUACCUACUAGCCUACGACGGGUACGGGUUGUGAGAGCAAGAGCCCGGAGAUGGAUUCUGAGACACGAAUCCAGGCCCUACGGGGUGCAGCAGGCGCGAAAACUUUACAAUGCUGGAAACAGCGAUAAGGGGACCUCGAGUGCCAGGUUACAAAUCUGGCUGUCGUGAUGCCUAAAAAGCAUUGCAUAGCAAGGGCCGGGCAAGACCGGUGCCAGCCGCCGCGGUAACACCGGCGGCUCGAGUGGUAACCGUUAUUAUUGGGUCUAAAGGGUCUGUAGCCGGCCGGAUAAGUCUCUUGGGAAAUCUGGCAGCUUAACUGUCAGGCUUUCAGGAGAUACUGUCUGGCUCGAGGCCGGGAGAGGUGAGAGGUACUUCAGGGGUAGGGGUGAAAUCUUGUAAUCCUUGAAGGACCACCAGUGGCGAAGGCGUCUCACCAGAACGGACCUGACGGCAAGGGACGAAAGCUAGGGGCACGAACCGGAUUAGAUACCCGGGUAGUCCUAGCCGUAAACGAUACUCGCUAGGUGUCGGCAACGGUGCGACCGUUGUCGGUGCCGUAGGGAAGCCGUGAAGCGAGCCACCUGGGAAGUACGGCCGCAAGGCUGAAACUUAAAGGAAUUGGCGGGGGAGCACCACAACGGGUGGAGCUUGCGGUUUAAUUGGAUUCAACGCCGGAA
rnacentral:rRNA from 1 species